rnacentral:lncRNA from 1 species
CUAUUAUCUAUUAAUCUAUUAAUCUUAUAUUAAUUAAUCUAUGUGAAUUUUUAAUAAAUUUUUGCCAUGUGGCAAAUUCUCCUUCCCUCUCACCAGCUAGCGUGUGACCGUUCCCCUUCCCUCUGCUAAACUUUUAAUUAAUACGUCUAAAGGAUUCCACCACCAAAUUUUUAAUUAAUGCAUAUAAAUGGUCUUACUACUAUCUACGAUUCUCACAUCUCUAUCUCCAAUUAAUUCAUCAUGACCAUUUUCCUUUCAUCUAUCAAACUUUCAAUUAAUGCAUCCAAAUGAUUCACUGUAAUUUUCAAUCCUCAUCUCUCUAUCUCUAAUUAAUUCAUCAAUUCUCUCUCUCUUAUCUUUUCCUGUACACCGUCGUGUUCCUCCCUCCCCCCUCUCUCUCACUAAUGUGUGCCCACCUCGCCCUUCCACCGUAGUUGAAGGGAUCAUUGUCGUCGUCACUAUCGCCGACGCCGGAGAAGGCGUUGGGAUCUUUAGUAGAUGUGGUAAGUGAGUUGCACAAGAGAAUAUUAGAUGUUCUCUUAUUUUUAAUUACUGCUAUAGUUUUCUA